CCAGACUCCUACGGGAGGCAGCAGUGGGGAAUAUUGCACAAUGGGCGAAAGCCUGAUGCAGCAACGCCGCGUGAAGGAAGAAGGGUUUCGGCUCGUAAACUUCUAUUAACAGGGACGAAAGAAAUGACGGUACCUGAAUAAGAAGCCCCGGCUAACUACGUGCCAGCAGCCGCGGUAAUACGUAGGAUGCGAGCGUUAUCCGGAUUCAUUGGGUUUAAAGGGUGCGCAGGCGGGCCUUUAAGCCGGCGGUGAACCCGGGGGGCCCACCCCCGCCGAGCCGUCGGAACUGGGGGCCUUGAGUGCGGCGGAGGCAUGCGGAAUGCGCGGUGUAGCGGUGAAAUGCAUAGAUAUCGCGCGGAACCCCGAUUGCGAAGGCAGCGUGCCGUGCCGCCACUGACGCUGAGGCACGAAAGCGCGGGGAUCGAACAGGAUUAGAUACCCGUGUA
rnacentral:rRNA from 1 species